rnacentral:rRNA from 1 species
GACGAACGCUGGCGGCGUGCUUAACACAUGCAAGUCGAACGCUGAAGCUCAGCUUUUGUUGGGUGGAUGAGUGGCGAACGGGUGAGUAACACGUGAGUAACCUGCCUCCUUCUUUGGGAUAACGCCCGGAAACGGGUGCUAAUACUGGAUAUUCACUGGUCUUCGCAUGGGGGUUGGUGGAAAGGGUUUUUCUGGUGGGGGAUGGGCUCGCGGCCUAUCAGCUUGUUGGUGGGGUGAUGGCCUACCAAGGCUUUGACGGGUAGCCGGCCUGAGGGGGUGACCGGUCACAUUGGGACUGAGAUACGGCCCAGACUCCUACGGGGGGCAGCAGUGGGGAAAAUUGCACAAUGGGCGCAAGCCUGAUGCAGCGACGGCGCGGGAGGGAUGGAGGCCUUCGGGUUGUGAACCUCUUUCGCUCAUGGUCAAGCCGCAACAAUGGUUGUGGUGAGGGUAGUGGGUAAAGAAGCGCCGGCUAACUACGUG